rnacentral:rRNA from 1 species
AUGGGGUGGCUCCGCUCCCUCUUCUCCCCUCUGAGGAAGAUCAUGGUCCGCGCGCAUUCGGCGCGCAAAUACCGGAGGGGGAUGAGGAUCCUGUACAAGGACGUCAAGUCCUGCGAGGACGAAGAUGUGCACGUCCUGUGGUCCAUCCUGGUCGACUCGCACCGCCACCCGGCCAUGGUGAAGCUGAAGCUCUAG